GAAUGGCCCUCUCUUCCACAUUUGGCGCCUAAAUCUCCUCUCAAGUAUUCUUCAUCUCUAUUCAGAAUGGCCCUCUCUUCCACAUUUUGGUUCUGGAUUUGCUUGCUCAAUAUGGAGGUGUUGCUCCCAAAAUGGCAGAAGAAGCGCACUUGCAAGUGAUUGAUCGGGUUGUGCAAGAAGCGUUCGACAAAGCUAAUUUAACCGAGAGAGAUUUGUCUGCAGUUGCU